rnacentral:lncRNA from 1 species
CAGAGUUUUUAAUUUAUAACAUAAAUAUUUUAAAAUAACAGGUUUCCUUUGUAAUUCUGUAUAUUUUUUUUAUUUUAUGCACUUAAAAACAUUCUGAGAAAGGCUCUAUAGCUGCGUUGGUGAACCUAUGGUAUGUGUGCCAGAGGAGGCUGCUGAGGACAUUUUUCAUAUCACCCUCCCCUCUGCCCAGCAGUUCAGUGGAAACACUUCUUCCCUCUCCUCUCUGGGGAAAGCAGAGGAUAGAGCACUGGGCCUGAAGUCAGAAAGACUCAUCUACAGUAUCUUUGCCAAGAAAGCUCCAUGUCGAGUCAUAAAAGUCAGGCACAACUGCAAAAAUGAAUCCACAGCAACAAUUAUGAACAAACGUCCAACAAUUGGAGAGUCAAUUCAAGGAUGGUUGCUUUUAGUAAUAGAAGAUUUAAGAGGGUUUUCUUUAAAAACAUUUGAUUGACACAUGUGCACACCCACAGUGAGCAACUGAUGCUCCCAGAAUCUGCAGAUGGCAAUUUAUCUGUUUGGGCCUCUUUGUCUGAAUGGGAAAUAGCUGAGAGUCACACUUCACUACAUCCCAUCAAUUUGGAAAUGUUAAGAUCCUGGAGAGAAGGCCACUGUGGGUUGGAUAAUUGGAGUGGCAUGGAGACUGAAGAAAGGGAGAUUUUUUUUACCUGAAAGAAGUAGCUGAUCUGCUCAGUUUCUGGGCAAAGGAAAUAGAAUUGAUUCUGCCAAUUAAAAAUUUAAAGGAUUGCAAAUGUAUUAGUAGAAUUGAACCAAACA